rnacentral:rRNA from 1 species
CGACUACCGGUGCUCUGUGAUACACUUUCUACGAGUCGAGUUGUUUGGGAAUGCAGCUCAAAAUGGGUGGUAAAUUCCAUCUAAAGCUAAAUAUAGGCGAGAGACCGAUAGCGAACAAGUACCGUGAGGGAAAGAUGAAAAGCACUUUGGAAAGAGAGUUAAACAGUACGUGAAAUUGUUGAAAGGGAAACGAUUGAAGUCAGUCGUGACUGUUGGUUUCAUCCGGUUCUGCCGGUGUAUUACCAGCAGUCGGGUCAACAUCAGUUUUGAGCGGUGGAAAAAGGUAGAGAGAACGUAGCACCUUCGGGUGUGUUAUAGCUCUCUAUUGCAUACAC